GCCCGGGUGGUGGAAUGGUAGACACAGGGGACUUAAAAUCCCCCGGUCAUUGCGACCGUGCCGGUUCAAGUCCGGCUCCGGGUA
rnacentral:tRNA from 1 species